GAAUAGUGAACAUUAAAUUAAUGAAUUAAAGUACAAAAUGAUAAAAAGUAAUAACUUGAUACGCUUAAUCUUUACAGGCUCCCCCGGACAGCAGGCCAACAUCAGAGAAGGACACAAAGAAGAGCCUCCCUCGACGUGAAGAGCCGCAUCAGGAGUCAGCCAUGGAUGAACAGCAGGAGUACCAGACGAACGUAUCACGAUGCAGGGACGGAGCACCAGAAAUCCAAAAAUAGCAGGAGUGCAUCUGGAGCAGUCCGCAGCGCCGCAUCAUACAGGAGUCGUCGCGUUGGGAGGCAGCAGCGAAGCCACUGCAAG